GACGAGCCACCCGAACGUUAUUCGGAAUUACUGGGCUUAAAGGGUGCGUAGGCGGUGUAGCAAGUCGGGAGUGAAAUACCCCAGCUUAACUGAGGAAUUGCUUUCGAUACUGCUGCGCUUGAGUGAGACAGAGGUAAGCGGAACUUAGGGUGGAGCGGUGAAAUGCGUUGAUAUCCUAAGGAACACCAGUGGCGAAGGCGGCUCACUGGUCCGGUACUGACGCUGAGGUGCGAAAGCGUGGGGAGCAAACAGG
rnacentral:rRNA from 1 species